GAAGAGAAAAAGAAAGAAAGAGCCCUGGGGCCUCAAUUUUUCGCGCUGACUCCUCCCGGGCCCCAAAAAGAACCCACCCCCACGAGAAGCGUAAGAUCAGUGAAAAAAAUGUUCAAACCAGCUGCGAGAUGAUCUCGUGAAUCGAUAGUCGGUGUCCGACGAGGCACGUUCUCGAAAUUCGAACGGUGGACGAUGGAUAAUUAUUGAGAGCAACGAGACGACGAGAAAGAAGAGAGGGGAAAAAAAAUGAGAUAAUCGGAGAACGCGACAUCGACCCGAAACUCGCGUAGGAUUUCCUUUUAACAAUUCGGCUGAAGAAGAUAGUUUCGCUUCGACUCUAGAACUGCUGGAGGGGAUUUGUAUCGGAGAAUUCGUAUGUCGCGGCUCGAUUCGAUCGCGAGUCGAGCGACGUAAGGGACAAAACGAGGGAAAAGAAGAAGAAGCAGAAGAAGGAGAAGAAGAAGAAGAAAAAAGAAGAAGAUUAAAAUAAAGAGAAAAGACAAACGUGCGUGGCGAUGGGUUGGGAUCAGAUUAAUUAAUUGUAUCUCGGAAUAUUUGAAAGUUUUUUCGAUUACUGCGCGUUCGACGAUCGCCGCGCGAGGCUGACGUGUUUAUACAUUUUAUUAGAGUCUAUUUGAGAAACACAUACACACGUACACACACUUACACGGAACACAGGAGGGACAGGUUGCACACUUUGUGUAUAUAGUGUACAUACGUAUUGUAUACGUACGUAUGCGGCGACACUUCCACCUUUAUCGACAAACAAGUAAAUUACGAUCGAGGUAAAGAGACAAAAGAGAUAAAAAAAAAAUGAACAAAAAAGAUAACUACCAUAGACGAUGAAUCGAUAGAAGUACUGUGUAAAUAUUGUAAGAAGCCUUUCGAACGAGGUCUUUCCGCGUCCACCCGCGUGUGCCCUGGAAAGGACCACGUUUAAAUCUACCAAGAAUAUUUGUAAGAGCGAUCUACUCUUGUUUUUACGAAGCACCACGAGCGUUAUUGCUACUGUAAAAUAUUUGUCGAUUUAAUACUGACACGCGUAACCGCGUCGAUUGCGUGCAUAGGGUUGCCACACCGACGGAAUGCUUUAACGAACAUGAAUUCGAAAAGAAUCUGCCAUUCGGAAUCUUUUGCUGGAAGAUAACAAGCAUGAGUAUCUUGAACCUUCGAUUUUUAACAAUUUCCCAUUUUUUAUACUUAAGGUAUCGAUACAAUAGGCUUCUAAGAUAAUAGAGUGUCCGAUGAUACCGUUUUCAUCGACCGAGAAAAGCAUUCUUGACACUUAAAUCUUUAAUGAAAAUGUUGUUCCAUUGAAACAUUAAUAAAUUCGUUGUUUCCGUAAAUUGCAUGGAAUAAAGUAUUAGAAGUAACCUCAGAGAACGAUAAAUUAGCCGAGGAAGUAAGGAAAAUAUUGAUUUUUUCUAUAUAGCGCCGUAAAGUCGGUCGCACGCUUGCGCGGUGGCCGACGAGCGCCGGCCGACACCGCUUGUGCAGGCGUCGAAGUCUCCGGCGCGGCGUUGAAGUCACCGUGGCCGCGCUGGCGUCGGCGCGGCGCUCCAGCUCGCUAAUUUUCGCGAAAUCUUGUUAGGCACAAAGUAUCGCAUAGUUUUGCACAUUCUUACGAGUCCACGUAACCUGUUUUACAUUAAUUAAUAAAUAUAUUUAAGCCUCGAAUAGGAAUAAUACCGUACGAAUUUCCGCAAGUUUUUGUGUAGAAUUUCUGUAGCUUUUUCGACAUGUCGACGAUUUUUAUUCUUCCAUUCGAUUGCCGGCGCACGCGACAACACUGGCAGCCCUAUGCACGGACGUGGCAGCAGAUCACACGCAGAUCGAAUCUCUUGAUCGCUCGUGUACAUUGAUUUUUAGAAGCGCACGCAUCACGUUGUUUCUUAAGUAGAACGAAUUUGUCACAGGCACGCCGUUCGUCGCGAUCUAGUGUCGGGUGCCGCGCGAAGCCGACGUAGCUGAGUAAGGGGGGCGAAAGAAAUAUACGACAGCGUUGUAAAAUGAAUUUCAAGUCGUUUAGACGGUAACGUUGUCGUCUGCGCAUCGUUAGGAUAGUAUGAUGCGAGAGACUUUCUUUCAUCGCGAAUAUUUUUGAGCGAUACGCUUUCCUCACCGCGUGUGACUUUAUUGCAAAUCUUAGGCGAAUUUUCCUAUUAUUUUGUCUAGCACAUUUGCGAUCGGUGGUUCGCACCAAUAGAUCGGCGACGUCGGUCGAUUGACUCACCAGGCGCUGAAUACUUGGAUUUUCUUCUCGAACUUCAGAUCUGAAUAGCGUCGCAUUCGAUUGUUUUUUUAAUUCAACCCCUCAUUAUCGAUAAUAUUAAGUGUUUAUUCAUUUCAAUUUCAAUAUAAUAAGGCAAGGGGUUAAUUAACUUUACGAUUACCGAAAGUAAGCAUAGUUUCACUAACGAUCCACGAUCGAUUUUUCUCUAGUUUCAUCGGAAAACGGAAUCCGCAUUGACGAUUCCAAUCUUCUCGUUUUACCAGUUCGUAAUUAGCGUGAUUGAAUCUUGAAUUUUCAUACGAAUCUCUUAAAUGAAUUUUAUCGUCGAGUAAUAGGUAAAUUUUAUCGCGGAACCUGGCGUUUCCACGCGAAAUGAAUGUUUAAAUGAAUUUUAUCGGCGCCUUUAAGGGUUAGGGAAGCAAUUCGUGUGAGAAGAGUUUUCUGCGCGCAAACGCUUAAUCGAAUUUCCUUAGCGCGGCGUGCCGUUCUUGAUUUUUCGCUUGCCGCGACCGCGUCGAUGGUAAACCGCUUUAAUCUUUAAGGCAGAAACAUUUUUUGUAAAAGACGAGAAACAUAAAAAAACGAUCGAGGAACGAGACGGUCCCGCUCCACGAUCCGUGAUCGCCGAGAGCAGAAACGGGGUGAUUUUUCGUGAUCGAGUUUCGCGAGGAACGAUUUUAUACUCGGACCGUACCGGAUCCGAGGCAGCGGUCCCGCUGACUGUAAAAUCCUUUCGCAGCCAACUUUUGUAUAUACUAGGUGAAAAUAAUAAUAAUAAUAAUAACUUGCAUACACGAUCACUGGUGACGAUUCUACUUAAAGAUACUCACGCUUCCACUUUUGUGUGAACGAGCUCGCCCUUUGUCCGGCUCGAGUGAAAGGUUCUUUUUUCCCGGCGCGUUCAAAUUUCGAACACGCCGAUGAUUAUUCGAGUGUGUAUUUCGGAGAAGAGUGUGAUGAUUGCUGUUCCUUUUCCGGCUCGAAUUCGUCUUGCGAAGUUGACGACGUUGUCCAGUCACUUUAUUCGCUUCUCCUUCGACUACAAGCAUCAAGUCUAAAUAUUCUAUUGCUCCGAUCAAGCAAACGAUCGAAUGUUCUUAGGUAACAAUGAAUUUUAUUGAAACGUUGUAUAUCUUUAUAUUUUGUUAUUUAUUUUCCUUCUCAUUAUUUGCCAUUUAGUUUACCGAGUUCAUCGGGUCAAUCGAUGAACGAAUGAACUUCCUCAGUCUGUCGAUUAACGUUGUUUUGAUGAUGGACAAACGUGAACGACGUCGCGAAGAACGCAUUGCCAAACGAUUUUAAUUCCUAGUCGUGCAAAUUUUCUCUUUAGACGGACCCAACGUAAUCGAUGUGUGAUGAGCUACGAUAGACGGACAUUUUUUACGAUAUUUUGUAAGAGUCGUUAGCGAUAGGGAAUCCACGUCACGCAGAUCCCGGGAAGAGGACACACGGACGCGUGGUGUAACGUCACGCGACUAAUCCAGACGAGAAAUUUUGUCAACCCUUGAACAUUUCCGUAGAGAACGAUCUACUUACGUAGGCGACACGAAGCUGACAAACCACCGAGAAUCUCCGUCAGCUUGACACUUCGGUUUAGACCAGAAUUUUAGCGGCUUCCGGUCGGUCCGUUCUUUGUUUCGGUGUAUCGAGUAGCGUUCGACUCUGUAACGUCCAAGAAACUAGCG